AAAAUACAGGAUUCCCAGUUAAGUUUGGAUUUCAGAUAAGCCGGGAAUCAUCUUCCAGUGGGAACAUCUUCCAUGCAUCAUGCUGGGCAUUUUUACAUUAAAAUCCACAUCCACUGUCGAUCUAAAAUUCAAAUGUAACCAAGCAUCCUGGCAAAUCUGGGAGGGGCAUCCUGGUUGGACAAUGGCUCCCUGCUCCCCUGAAGCCCAGGUGAGUGUAUUUGCACCUAGAGCUCACCUGGCGCUCCAUCCAGCAUGGGCCGGAGCAUCUGGGAAGGAACUGCAGUUAUCCUCCUUGAAGCGGCUGCUCCUGCUGCUUGGAGAGAGUUCCCUCUGGCUUUUGUACCUUUAUUUGCUUGGAGUAGCAGCGUGGUGAAUGGAAAGUGCGCCACGUGAGCGCCAGCAUGCCUGGCUGUGACCCGGCACUGAUGGGACUCUCAGUGUGACCUCAGAUCAAAUAAUGCCCUGGUUCUGGGUAUGGUAAAUGCCUGUUCUGUGAUCCCCCAGGACCAGCAGAGGAUUGAAGCUGCUGACACUUCCUGCAUAAGGCGGCUGCCCUGAGCUGCUUGGUGUCUCGGCAGCAUGUCCCUCAGGGAAGGAAACACUAGCAUCGUCAUAUCCUCGAGCUUCUUGGUGGAGCAUUGAGGGCUGGGCUUUCUUGCUGCAGCUGUGUCUUAGUUUCUUGGUUUGCUUAUCUCUUUAAUAUUUUAUCGACGUGAUAUUCAUUGUAGUAAGGUGCAGGAUCUUCAGCGUGCACCUGGAUAAGGUUUUCAGGCGUGUGCUUGUGGACCAUGGGCAGGACAAGGCCGAGAACCCCCGCAGGUUCUAGUGCCUCUCCCUGGUCAGUGCAGCUCCUCAGGCGGUCACGGUUCUGGUUCCUGUGGGCAGAGAUUAGUGCCUGUCCUUGAAGUUCGUACAGAGGGCAUGGUACAGAGUGCGACCUGUGGGACCCGGCUUCUCUCACGUGCUCUGAUGUUCAGAUUCCUCCGGGUUGUCUUGCAUGCAACACUUUGAUCUUUCCUGUUCCAACAUGGUCAUCUACUGUGCAGAGACGCCCCCACACACUAAUCCCUUUCAUGGUCCAGGGACUAUCUCAGGGUCGCUUCCAGUUUGGGUACUUAACUUUUGGCGAGCGUGUGCAUUCAUUUCUCUUCCAUGUGCAAGAGUAGGUUGGCUGCGUCAUGGGGCAUCUCAGGUCUCAUUCUCUCCAGUCCCAGGUGGGUCAAAAGCUCAUAGCUGGGUGGAAAACUUGCAAAUAUGUUUGUUUUGAGAACGGGAAAAAGGAAAUAAGGAAGGAAGAAAGUUGAGCCCCAGCUCCUUCCACAGACCUUGCCACACACAGCUGUAAACCCAUGUUCCCCGGGGAUCUAGGGGAAGCACUUUUUUAACUUCAUUCAGGAAACAGAAGCCACCAAGCACCUUCAGCCCUGCACACUUGGUCACCUAUGAGCCAUGCACUUAUUGAAGUUUAAACAAAUGUCGUUUCAUAUAAAAAGAAAAAUUGUAAUUUCUUCUUCUAUAAAAUUUAUGUUUAGACCUUCGCGUUCUCCCCUGACACCAGGCUGGACGACAUUCCUCAAGUCUCACUUGCCCCAACUGUCGCAUCAGGGCACCUCACCUCUGAGAAAUAUAAAAAGACUUCACAAAUAAGCCUGUUUAUAAAGAGGAAGGUCAUCUGAGUCGUUUCCAAUCUGGCAGGAAAUAAAGUAACUUUAAAUUUAUGUGAAGGAAAAGUCUCAUCAGC
rnacentral:lncRNA from 1 species